GACGAACGCUGGCGGCGUGCUUAACACAUGCAAGUCGAACGAUGAAGCGGUGCUUGCACCGUGGAUUAGUGGCGAACGGGUGAGUAAUACGUGAGUGUCCUCCCUUUGACUCUGGGAUAAGCCUGGGAAACUGGGUCUAUUACCGGAUACGACCAAUCUCUGCAUGGGGUGGUGGUGGAAAGGGUUAUGGGGUGGUUUUAGAUGGGCUCACGGCCUAUCAGCUUGUUGGUGAGGUAAUGGCUUACCAAGGCGACGACGGGUAGCCGGCCUGAGAGGGUGACCGGCCACACUGGGACUGAGACACGGCCCAGACUCCUACGGGAGGCAGCAGUGGGGAAUAUUGCACAAUGGGCGCAAGCCUGAUGCAGCGACGCCGCGUGAGGGCUGACGGCCUUCGGGUUGUAAACCUCUGUUAGCAUCGAAGAAGCGAAAGUGACGGUAGGUGCAGAGAAAGCGCCGGCUAACUACGUG
rnacentral:rRNA from 1 species